rnacentral:rRNA from 1 species
UACGGAGAGUGCAAACGUUGUUCGGAUUCACUGGGCGUAAAGGGCACGUAGGCGGCUCGGCAAAUCGGUCGUGGAAUCCCGACGCUUACCGUCGGAACGGCGGCCGAAAAUACCGGGCUCGAGGGCGUGAGGGGUCACUGGAACUCCUGGUGAAGCGGUGAAAUGCGUAGAUAUCAGGAGGAACACCGGUGGCGAAGGCGCUCAUCUGGCCCAAUACUGACGCUGAGGCGCGAAAGCUAGGGGAGCAAACGGG